rnacentral:rRNA from 1 species
UACGGGGGGUGCGAGCGUUGUCCGGAAUCACUGGCGUAAAGGGCGCGUAGGUGGUUUGAUAAGGGUGUGGUGAAAGUCCGGGGCUCGAACCCCGGAUCUGCCGUGCCGACUGUCAAACUCGAGGGCUGUAGAGGCAGACGGAAUUCCGGGUGUAGCGGUGGAAUGCGUAGAGAUCCGGAAGAACACCGGUGGCGAAGGCGGCCUGCUGGGCAGUAGCUGGACGCUGAUGCGCGACAGCGUGGGGAGCAAACAGG